CCGCCGCCAUGUUCCGCCGGGCCGCCGCCGCCCGGCGCCUGUAGCCGCCCCCGCCCGCCCCGCCGCGCCCCGCCAGCCGCCGGCGGACGGGCGGACGAAGGCGCUGCCGCGCCCAGCACAGCCGCCGGAGCCCGGCAGCGCCCAGCGAUGUCCGCCAAGGAGGGGAGCAAGGUGCUGCUGCUGACGCCCCACGCCACCAGCGAGCGCGCCGUCAAGGCUGUCCCUUUUCCACCAACGCAUCGCUUAACGUCUGAAGAAGUGUUUGACACAGAUGGAAGACCAAGGGUUGACAUUUUGAAGAACCACUUGAUAAAAGAAGGUCGAGUGGAUGAAGAAAUUGCACUUAGAAUCAUCAAUGAGGGUGCUGCAAUAUUACGGAGGGAAAAAACUAUGAUAGAAGUUGAAGCUCCAAUUACAGUGUGUGGUGAUAUUCAUGGCCAGUUCUUUGAUCUAAUGAAGCUGUUUGAAGUGGGAGGAUCACCUGCUAACACAAGAUACCUCUUCCUCGGUGACUAUGUAGACAGAGGUUAUUUUAGUAUAGAGUGUGUGCUGUACUUAUGGGUCCUGAAAAUUCUCUACCCAAGCACAUUAUUUCUUUUGAGAGGCAACCAUGAAUGCAGACACCUAACAGAGUAUUUUACCUUUAAGCAAGAAUGUAAAAUAAAGUACUCCGAAAGAGUCUAUGAUGCUUGUAUGGAAGCUUUUGAUUGUCUCCCUCUUGCUGCUCUCUUAAAUCAACAGUUUCUUUGUGUUCAUGGUGGACUUUCACCAGAAAUUAAUACACUAGAUGACAUUAGGAGAUUAGAUAGAUUCAAAGAGCCUCCAGCAUUUGGACCAAUGUGUGACUUAUUGUGGUCAGAUCCGUCAGAAGAUUUUGGAAAUGAAAACUCACAAGAGCAUUUCAGUCACAAUACAGUCAGAGGAUGCUCAUACUUUUAUAGCUAUCCAGCAGUUUGUGAAUUUUUGCAAAAUAAUAAUUUGUUGUCAAUCAUUAGAGCACAUGAAGCACAAGAUGCAGGUUAUAGAAUGUACAGGAAAAGUCAAACUACAGGGUUCCCAUCAUUAAUAACAAUUUUUUCAGCACCUAAUUACCUGGAUGUCUACAAUAAUAAAGCUGCUGUAUUAAAAUAUGAAAACAAUGUGAUGAAUAUUCGUCAGUUCAAUUGUUCUCCUCAUCCUUACUGGCUACCAAAUUUUAUGGAUGUUUUCACAUGGUCUUUGCCAUUUGUUGGAGAAAAAGUAACAGAAAUGUUGGUGAAUGUUUUGAGCAUUUGCUCUGAUGAUGAACUGAUGACAGAGGGAGAAGAUCAAUUUGACGAGCGACUCAUAUAUGGCAAUAAAAAAGUAGGUACAGCUGCCGCACGGAAAGAAAUAAUCAGAAACAAAAUUCGUGCAAUCGGCAAGAUGGCGAGAGUCUUCUCUGUUCUCAGGGAGGAGAGUGAAAGUGUGCUGACACUCAAGGGUUUGACUCCCACUGGAAUGUUACCUAGUGGAGUGUUGGCUGGAGGACGACAGACCCUGCAAAGUGAUGCAUUCUAAUUGGAGACUCUUCUCAAAGUUUGAGUGCAGAAGAUAAAGUUAAAUAUGGUGGAGUCUGGAGCUGUCUCUAAUUCUUGUAUUGUUUGGGAGAAGAAAUUAUAUCCUUCCUCCCAGAAAACUUUCUUAUCAGAUACUUGGAGUCUGAAGAAGGACAAGCACCUAAACCUCUACAUCAUAACCAUUAAUCAGGGACAGCCAUCCCUUUUGGAUGCAGCACCUGCAGAGCUGGUUCUCAUGAGCCCUUCAGUUCCUUUGUCAAGAAAGGGGGCAGGAUGUAAACAGCACACAGACCUCAACAGCUAAAAGUAACAAAGUGUUUGACUACUCUCAUAGUGAAAAGCCUUCCUCCCUGAGGACACACAGUGCUGAGCCACAUUUGACUUGUCAGCUAUCAGAACAUACUGGAAAUCUGCUCCUUCUAUCCCACAUAAGGAACAGGUGAGCUCAGCUUAGCUUGCUCUCUGUGAAUCAUUAGGAGCUCACCUCCUCUUACAGGACUUUUAAGAGCUUAGAACCUUGGAAACUUCUGCCUCUACUGCACAAACAGUGUUUUCAAAUGUUACAGGGUGAGAACUUACAAGAGGUGUUGGGGUUUUCCUUUGGAAUCCAGGUUAUAAAGCCUAAAUGACUAAAUCUGGACCACUGACUCAAGACUGAAGACCUAUUACAUGUUUUAAAUAAAAAGAACAAGUCAAAUAUCUGUAUACCUUUGUUUUGCUAUAUGUAUGAUUUAGCAGCCAUACCACAAAGGCUGCUAUUAGCAUUAACAUACAUUAGAAAUAUUUACUUGAACGACCUGGAUCUCUAAGGAAAACCCUGUAAGGUAAAUGUCAUAUAAUUGAUCUUAAAAAUCAUAUAUUUAAAACCACCUUCAUAAUGAAGCAUAAUAUAUGGACUCAUCACUCACUUGCUGGGAAUCAUCUUCACUGACUACUUUUAGGAAUACGGGUCACACAUUACAUACAGUACACAUUCAGUCUUGACCUCAGAAAACAGAAAUAAAGUGCAGACAGUAAGGCCUAGCUCAAAUGUUCUCCUUGGGUUUGGUUGCCCCAAGAUUUCUAUCCCUAAAUUACUAUGUCCAGGCUAUAUAAUAUUCUUUUCCCCAGAGGUACACUCUGAUAUUUCUCUGCCAGACAAAAGAUUUUAAUGGAAUUUAGAUUCACAAUUCCAAAAUUAGGAUCCUCAAAAGCCCUGCCCAGGUAACUAUCAGUACUGCAGAAGAAAAUUUCACAUAGGUUUUUUUAACUGACUGUCACUUUAGCAUCACCAGUGAGACUAGGAAAUCUAGAAUUGUUGAUACCAAAUCUAAGAGGUCUUUUAAAUUAAUCCAUUGAAAUUGGUUAUGUUUUAGACGCUAGCUAAGGAAAAAAUAUUUUCAGAUGUAGUUAAAAAUAAACUACAGCUACAAUCAUGAGGGUUCAGCAGAACCUUGAGGGGAGAAGAGAAAUCUUGGAUUUAAUAAAGUCUUGUUUCUAACAUGUUUGUCUUUAGUUUGACUGACUUUAGUGUUUCAGAGGGAGUAAGGGUAAAUUGUGAAGCAAAACCAUCAGAGAAUUUAUUGCAUGUAUUCAUACACAUAUAUUUAUACAUUGCAUGUAUUUAUACCUUUUCAGUAUUUUAAUAGCAUUCAGGCUGAGCUCCAUGCUUAAAUCUAGUUCUGUACUACAUAAAACACAAGUAAUAUUCACACAAUUACAGGGCCACGAAAGUGCCAUGAGUGCCAUGAUCAGUGCCAUAAAAGCACACAGAUGAAUCUAGCUUUGAAAAAUGAUGCAGGCAUAUCAAAAACACUGCAGUAUCAGCCACACCUGAUACAUUUCAGCCUUCCAUUAAGUUUCAUUUAAAUUUUUAGUCUAUUCAAUUGUGAGCUGAAAGUGAAACAGUCCUGUGGCUGAAGGAUAGAGGGUCCAAGUCAAGAUACAGUGUCCUCUAUCCUCAGAAGAAUAUUUACGUGGUGUCAUAUGAAAGCUGGGCUGCUUGAGUAAAGCAUUCCAAGCUCUUCCUGAGAGCUGUGACCACUGAAGUUUGUUCAGCAUCUCUGUAAAUCCUGGGAUACGGAUAAGCAAGUAUUUGGUAGAGAGAGGUUCAGAGAUUACCUCUGACUCUGUAUGUAAAGACCCUCAUAUUUAUAGAAGAAACUUUAAGAAAAAAAAAAAA